rnacentral:rRNA from 1 species
UACGGAGGAAAAGAAACCAACAGGGAUUGCCUCAGUAACGGCGAGUGAAGCGGCAUAAGCUCAAAUUUGAAAUCUGGCUCUUUCGGGGUCCGAAUUGUAAUUUGUAGAAGAUGCUUCGAGUGUGGUUCCGGUCUAAGUUCCUUGGAACAGGACGUCAUAGAGGGUGAGAAUCCCGUAUGUGACUGGAUACCUUCAUUCAUGUGAAGCUCUUUCGACGAGUCGAGUUGUUUGGGAAUGCAGCUCAAAAUGGGUGGUAAAUUUCAUCUAAAGCUAAAUAUUGGCCAGAGACCGAUAGCGCACAAGUAGAGUGAUCGAAAGAUGAAAAGCACUUUGGAAAGAGAGUUAAACAGUACGUGAAAUUGUUGAAAGGGAAGCGCUUGCAAUCAGACUUGCGCCUAGUUGAUCAUCCAGGCUUCUGUCUGGUGCACUCAAUUAGGCUCAGGCCAGCAUCGGUUUGGGUGGUUGGAUAAAGGCCUUGGGAAUGUAGCCCUCUUCGGGGUAG